GCAUUGCUAGGAGAGUAAGCUAUAGAUGGGCUAUAUUUAGCAGACUGAGGGUUGUAGCUUGGAGACGUAGGACCGUAGCUUGGUGAUGUUGGACUGUAACUUGGUGAAGUAGGGCUGUAGCCAGGAGAUGUGGGGCUAUAUGCGGGUGAAGUAGGGCUGUAAGACGGAGAUGUUGGGCUGUAAGAUGGUGAAGUAGGGCUGUAAGAAGGCGAUGUUGGGCUGUAAGAAGGUGAAGUUGGGCUGUAAGAAGGAGAGGUUGGGCUGUAUGCUGGUGAAGUUGGGCUGUAAGCAGGUGAAGUCGGGCUGUAAGCAGGCGAAGUCGGGCUGUAACUUGGGGAAGUAGGACUGUAGCUCGGAGAUGUCGGGCUGUAGCUUGGCGAC
rnacentral:lncRNA from 1 species